rnacentral:piRNA from 1 species
UGAUAUUCUCAAGGAAAUUCAUUCUGCCU